UCUUAACGGUGUACGAUAAAGCACUCAUACCACACAAUACCGGAAUCCAUAUUAUUCCAACCAUGCACAAGAGAAAUUGGUCCACCUUCCAUGUUCCAAAUCAAUUGUACAUACAUCUCCACCUCUACAACACAUAGUAAUACAAUAUCAAACAUUCCUAGGUAUUCACUAUCCAGACUAAACCAUCCUUUCAAACUAC
rnacentral:lncRNA from 1 species